UACGAAGGGGGCUAGCGUUGUCCGGAAUCAUUGGGCGUAAAGGGCGCGUAGGCGGUUUGUUAAGUCGGAUGUGAAAACCAGAGGCUCAACCUCUGGCCUGCAUCCGAUACUGCCCGACUAGAGGUAGGUAGGGGGAGAUCGGAAUUCCUGGUGUAGCGGUGAAAUGCGCAGAUAUCAGGAGGAACACCGGUGGCGAAGGCGGCUUCCUGGACACAACUGACGCUGAGGCGCGAAAGCUAGGGGAGCAAACAGG
rnacentral:rRNA from 1 species